ACGAACGCUGGCGGCGUGCCUAAUACAUGCAAGUAGAACGCUGAAGAGAGGAGCUUGCUCUUCUUGGAUGAGUUGCGAACGGGUGAGUAACGCGUAGGUAACCUGCCUUGUAGCGGGGGAUAACUAUUGGAAACGAUAGCUAAUACCGCAUAACAAUGGAUGACACAUGUCAUUUAUUUGAAAGGGGCAAUUGUUCCACUACAAGAUGGACCUGCGUUGUAUUAGCUAGUAGGUGAGGUAAUGGCUCACCUAGGCGACGAUACAUAGCCGACCUGAGAGGGUGAUCGGCCACACUGGGACUGAGACACGGCCCAGACUCCUACGGGAGGCAGCAGUAGGGAAUCUUCGGCAAUGGGGGCAACCCUGACCGAGCAACGCCGCGUGAGUGAAGAAGGUUUUCGGAUCGUAAAGCUCUGUUGUAAGUCAAGAACGGGUGUGAGAGUGGAAAGUUCACACUGUGACGGUAGCUUACCAGAAAGGGACGGCUAACUACGUGCCAGCAGCCGCGGUAAUACGUAGGUCCCGAGCGUUGUCCGGAUUUAUUGGGCGUAAAGCGAGCGCAGGCGGUUUGAUAAGUCUGAAGUUAAAGGCUGUGGCUCAACCAUAGUUCGCUUUGGAAACUGUCAAACUUGAGUGCAGAAGGGGAGAGUGGAAUUCCAUGUGUAGCGGUGAAAUGCGUAGAUAUAUGGAGGAACACCGGUGGCGAAAGCGGCUCUCUGGUCUGUAACUGACGCUGAGGCUCGAAAGCGUGGGGAGCGAACAGGAUUAGAUACCCUGGUAGUCCACGCCGUAAACGAUGAGUGCUAGGUGUUGGAUCCUUUCCGGGAUUCAGUGCCGCAGCUAACGCAUUAAGCACUCCGCCUGGGGAGUACGACCGCAAGGUUGAAACUCAAAGGAAUUGACGGGGGCCCGCACAAGCGGUGGAGCAUGUGGUUUAAUUCGAAGCAACGCAAAGAACCUUACCAGGUCUUGACAUCCCGAUGCUAUUUCUAGAGAUAGAAAGUUACUUCGGUACAUCGGUGACAGGUGGUGCAUGGUUGUCGUCAGCUCGUGUCGUGAGAUGUUGGGUUAAGUCCCGCAACGAGCGCAACCCCUAUUGUUAGUUGCCAUCAUUCAGUUGGGCACUCUAGCGAGACUGCCGGUAAUAAACCGGAGGAAGGUGGGGAUGACGUCAAAUCAUCAUGCCCCUUAUGACCUGGGCUACACACGUGCUACAAUGGUUGGUACAACGAGUUGCGAGUCGGUGACGGCGAGCUAAUCUCUUAAAGCCAAUCUCAGUUCGGAUUGUAGGCUGCAACUCGCCUACAUGAAGUCGGAAUCGCUAGUAAUCGCGGAUCAGCACGCCGCGGUGAAUACGUUCCCGGGCCUUGUACACACCGCCCGUCACACCACGAGAGUUUGUAACACCCGAAGUCGGUGAGGUAACCUUUUGGAGCCAGCCGCCUAAGGUGGGACAGAUGAUUGGGGUG
rnacentral:rRNA from 1 species